GCAGCAGUGGGGAAUAUUGCACAAUGGGGGAAACCCUGAUGCAGCAACGCCGCGUGAGUGAUGACGGUCUUCGGAUUGUAAAACUCUGUCUUCAGGGACGAUAAUGACGGUACCUGAGGAGGAAGCCACGGCUAACUACGUGCCAGCAGCCGCGGUAAUACGUAGGUGGCAAGCGUUGUCCGGAUUUACUGGGCGUAAAGGGAGCGUAGGUGGAUAUUUAAGUGGGAUGUGAAAUACUCGGGCUUAACCUGAGUGCUGCAUUCCAAACUGGAUAUCUAGAGUGCAGGAGAGGAAAGUAGAAUUCCUAGUGUAGCGGUGAAAUGCGUAGAGAUUAGGAAGAAUACCAGUGGCGAAGGCGACUUUCUGGACUGUAACUGACACUGAGGCUCGAAAGCGUGGGGAGCAAACAGGAUUAGAUACCCUGGUAGUCCACGCCGUAAACGAUGUCGACUUGGAGGUUGUUCCCUUGAGGAGUGGCUUCCGGAGCUAACGCGUUAAGUCGACCGCCUGGGGAGUACGGCCGCAAGGUUAAAACUCAAAGGAAUUGACGG
rnacentral:rRNA from 1 species